rnacentral:rRNA from 1 species
UAAUGUAUCGGAACGUGCCCAGUCGUGGGGGAUAACUGCUCGAAAGAGCAGCUAAUACCGCAUACGACCUGAGGGUGAAAGCGGGGGAUCGCAAGACCUCGCGCGAUUGGAGCGGCCGAUAUCAGAUUAGGUAGUUGGUGAGGUAAAGGCUCACCAAGCCGACGAUCUGUAGCUGGUCUGAGAGGACGACCAGCCACACUGGGACUGAGACACGGCCCAG